rnacentral:rRNA from 1 species
UGGGGAAUAUUGGACAAUGGGCGAAAGCCUGAUCCAGCAAUGCCGCGUGUGUGAAGAAGGCCUGCGGGUUGUAAAGCACUUUCAGUAGUGAGGAAAAGCAGUUGGCUAAUAUCUGACUGUCUUGACAUUAGCUACAGAAGAAGCACCGGCUAACUCCGUGCCAGCAGCCGCGGUAAUACGGAGGGUGCGAGCGUUAAUCGGAAUUACUGGGCGUAAAGCGUGCGUAGGCGGCUUGGUAAGUCGGUUGUGAAAGCCCCGGGCUUAACCUGGGAAUUGCAUCCGAUACUGUCAAGCUAGAGUGUAGCAGAGGAUAGUGGAAUUUCCGGUGUAGCGGUGAAAUGCGUAGAUAUCGGAAGGAACACCAGUGGCGAAGGCGACUGUCUGGGCUAACACUGACGCUGAGGUACGAAAGCGUGGGUAGCAAACA